AACGAACGCUGGCGGCGUGUUUAAGACAUGCAAGUCGCACGGGAUCAUUUUGGUAGCAAUACUCGGAUGGUCCAGUGGCGCACGGGUGAGUAACACGUGAAUGACAUGCCCUUCAGUGGGGGAUAGCCCAGGGAAACUUGGAUUAAUACCCCAUGGUCUCGCGAGAGUAAAGGUGGCGCAAGCUGCCGCUGGAGGAUUGGUUCGCGUUCUAUCAGCUUGUUGGCGGGGUAACGGCCCACCAAGGCUACGACGGAUACCUGGUCUGAGAGGACGAUCAGGCACACUGGAACUGAGACACGGUCCAGGCACCUACGGGUGGCAGCAGUCGAGAAUAAUUCACAAUGGGGGCAACCCUAUGGUGCAACGCCGCGUGGAGGAUGAAGGUCUUCGGAUUGUAAACUCCUGUCAUCCGGGAGCAAGACCUGACGGUGAAUAGCCGGCAGGGUUGAUAGUACCGGAAGAGGAAGGGACGGCUAACUUCGUGCCAGCCGCCGCGGUAA
rnacentral:rRNA from 1 species